AUGGAAGCUUGGGGCCAUAAAUAAAUCGACCUUGGGCCAUGACUGGCCACCGGGCCAUACUUUUGACGUGCCUGCCAUAAAGUAAGUCGGCAGUGUCGUGACUUUAACUUCUUCUAUUUGAACAAGUCCUCACUUAAGCUUCCAGAUGGAAAUUAUCCGUCUUAAACCUUCAAAUUCCCCUAACUGUCACAUUUAAGUGGAUACAGGCUGCAAGCAGCGCCUCUGCCUGAGGACAACAUCCAGCCGCCCAUUGAAGCAGCAGUAAUCGGGAGUGACAGCCAAUGGAGCGCGGGGAGACCCAGACAUCAGAUGGUAAAAGGUUGGGUCGUGACAUUCUGAAUUAAAAUAAAAACCUCAAGGAAAGGUCAUGCACGGCCCAGGAGACUCACGGAUUGGCUUUAAGUGGCGGGCAACCCCCCAGGCGACCUGAUCGCAGCAUGAAGAAAACCGGGAGAUGGCACAUGACAGUCGCUCUCUACCUUCUCUUUAUCUCUUUGUCUGAACAGAAAACGACUACCAGGAGGAAUCAUACUCCACGAGAGAGAGAUCUGCUUUCAGCUUAGUAAAAACAGCUGACUGCAAGGCAAGUCUGUCUCAUUACAUUAAUCUGCUGCACAUACUUUCACACAUUUUCAUCAUUUGGUCUCUGAAGCCGGUUUUCUGUUUUGAUUGGUGGAUAUCUGCCUGAGAGUAUAAUGGUUAUAAUUAGAUCCAGGUCAGCUGACACAAACAGACACAGGACUGCUCUUUUUUUAAUGGGAAGUGACCACAUCAAUACACACAUGAUGCACAAAGAUGUUCAUUUUUGGGGGGAGGGGGAUGUUUCAUGUUUGUUUGCUCUAAAUGGACUCAUUUUAUUCGCUGGUUUUCAAUCCAGAGCCUCAGGCUAGUUUUAAGGUCAAGGGGCCUUUUCAGUAUCAGCCUUUUAAGGUGUUUGUCAGUCCAGCCUAUUGUAGCAGCACACUCUUAGAGUCCUGCUUAUCUUUAUCUGAAACCAAUGCCAUAUUGAUUACUCUUACUUAAACUCAGGGACCACAAAUAUACAA